UACUGUAGUUCUCCGGCCGCACGUGAUCGUGUUCGUCUCUAGCAGCCGCGGAACUAGGAAGCGGUUGGUUUCUUUGUCAUCUUCCUCGCCCGCGGUGGCAGCUAUGGGCUCUGCCACUCUGGUGGUGGUGGUGGUGGUGCUGCUGCUGCUGCCCGGCGUCUUGGUGGGCCUAUGUGCCGGGGAGAGGCUUCUGCCUGGCCGACAUUUGUUACUGCAAAGUGGUUUGGAAGAAAUGGUUUUGGGAGGCCGACACCGCGCUUGGCCCUUGGAGCUGUUGGAACUGGAGGACCUGUCUUCGUCUGAAUCGGGGUUCUUAGGGCUUCUGCUGGAGCCGCAGCUGGAUCCGGAGUGCAAGGAGCUCUUGAGUGCCUUCGCCAAUAGCAGCAUGAGGUUUACUGGCUGCUUAAUACGGAGCGCCCGGCCUGUGACGCUCUGCCAGAACUGCUAUCACCAAUUCCAGGAAGUCAUGCAGCAGUUGAAGAAUAUCGAGAAUACUACUAAAAGUAACCAUUGCGUCAAAAGCCUCUUGAUGUCAGACAGGCUACAGAUGGUUGCACUUCUGUCCAAGUUUUUUAAUGAGACGUGGAUAAAAGCUAACUGUGCAAACUGUUUAAAGGACAACAACGAAGGCCUAUCAGCUGGUACAGUGACGUUCCUGGCCUUAUAUAAUGAAUCAAUGGCAUGCUUCAAACAGAACCUCCAGGAAGGCAACCAGCUACCAAGUAACUACUCAGGUGUCUGCAAAAACUGCAACGCAACAUAUAAAAACUUGAGUUCCCACUUUAGUGAGAUGCAGAGGCAGGGGCAGCAUGAGGAAUCUGGAGAACAGUUCCAUUUGUGCAUUGAUGUAGAGGAUGCAAUGAACAUCACACAAAGACUGUGGAGCACAACUUUCAAUUGUUCUGUCCCCUGCACAGAUACAGUGCCAGUCAUAGCAGUUUCUUUAUUCAUUUUCUUUCUACCACUUGUUUUCUACCUGAGUACCUUCCUUCACUCAAAGCAGAAAAAACGCGUUCUGAUUCUGGGUAAGCGAAUCCACUCAAAUGCCAGUUUUGCGAACAUCCAAGAUAAAUCCAGCUGAGCCUUUGGAAUGCAAUGGGAUUAUUUGAUUACUCUAAAGACAAUUAUAAUUUAACUUUGCACUAUAUUGUAACAUGUUAAAUAAAAGAUGGUAUGUCUCAGGUGCAUGCACUAUUGUGCAGCCAUACAGAACUCAGUAAGAUGAUAUGACCUCCAGAAAAGAAGUUAAAACUACAUUCCCUCUUUCAUCUUUCUUGAUCUUUUGUCUCACUUCCUGAUUGGUAAAAUUUUAAGUAGGCAGUCCUAAUUUUUAUAUCUUGUAUAAUGAAUUGAUAAUAUUAACUUCCAUAUAUGAUGAGCUAACAUAAACAUUCCAUUCUGAUUCUUACAUGAAUGCUGACUUUUUAAAAAGUUGUCAUUAUUGAAAAAUGAAAAAUGAAUGCAAUGGAUAAUAUUCUUUAUCAGCGGACGGAUCUUGGAUCUUAAUCUUUGGUCUAUAUUGCUAUUUAAAAUGCUGUUUGGCUCAUAGAAAUAACCUCUGCAUUUUAUAGUACUGUAUUGCUGGUAACAGCAUAACUACUGAUUGUUGGAAUUAUAAUAAUUACAUAGUUUGACUUAGGGAGAAAUGUCAUGUCUUGAAAUUUCUAGUGUUGUAUGGUCGAAUAAGCUCUUAUCUGUGUGGCUGGUUAAAAGUAAGAUUAUACUAACUGAAAUACUGUUACCUAACUUGAUUAUUCUCUAUCCCUAAAAUUAUUUUUUAUAAAGUGGCUUGAUAUUUAAGGGUACAUAGUAUAUUUAUUAGAAUUUACAGACAAUAUUUUCUUGCAUUUGUAUAUAUUGCCUUGGAACAAUUACCCAAAACAAAACUAACAAAUGAAAAAGCUGAAUUGCUUAGACUGUAAAGUGGGAUUAAGAUAAUGGAAAGGAUUAACAUAUACAUUAUAGGGAAAAGUGUGAUUUAUUUACUUUUUUUGGUAGAAUAAUUUCUUAGUAUUUAAAUAACAAAAGAUACACAUAGAUUUGUCUAUCAUUUUAUUAACAGACAAAAAUGCUUAGAAGCAAAUCACAGGCUUUUGUCUGUGUUUGCAGUGGAACUUAGUGGUUUAAACAAAAGUACAUUUAGAGAAAUACUGCACGUUUCUCCCUCUGCAGGUGGAGAAGGAGCUGCUAGAAUUGUGCUCUCUUAAAUAGUGGUGGAAUAGUCCUUAGCUCAGUGUUGUCCAAACUUGGCCACUUUAAGAUGAGUGGACUUCAACUCCCAGAAUUCCCCAGCCAGCCAUCUGGGAAUUGAACUCCACUCAUCUUAAAGUGGCCAAGUUUGGACAACGCUGCCUUAGCUGAAGUUGCCUUGCCAGCUGUGCUUUGCAGCCAGUUGUAAUAAAAAGGAAAGCAUUCUGGGGUAAGGUCAAGGGUGUCACUGGGGAAGAUUUGGCUGGGGUCAUGCAUCAUAUUGAGCUGUGAUCUCUUUAAAUAAUAGUUUGCUCAAGGAACCAAAAUUGACUUGGUUUACACAACACAGUAAGCAGGGUGAAGAAUCCAGUCCCUCAUUAUACCAUUUGAGGAUCGGCUAACAUUUUUGGAACCUUUUUUUUUCAUUUUAGGAGGGAUCAAGGCCAUCCUUAAAAAACUCUAACUGCCCUCUGUUAGGCCAAUGUUUCCAUUUUGGGUGAAUGAGCCUUCUCAUUCUUGGAUCUUGGUGCUGGAAUGAAGAGGUUCUGAAGCUAGUGUAGUUAUUAUCCUUCCCAUUAGAUCUAAUGAAAGACAAGGUUAAAAGUAAGUUAAACAAAAAAAGAAAAUUUCCCUGUUUCUUCCCCCAUGUCUGUUUAUUUAAACCAGAGCUAAAACAACAUAAGAAUAAUUUGCCUAUGGAUUAUGCAGUAUAUCUAGACCAGUGUUGAGAAACACUGAUCUAGACACUUGUGUUUAGGACUUUGCCUAAAGAUGGAAUUAUAAACUAGGACAAACAACUGGCUAUAUUUGUAUUUAACUUUGCUAUUGAAGAUAAGCUGGGAAUAAAGUGCUUUGCUUUGCUGUUCUUUGUGCUGCCAUGUUAAUCAGCUAUCCUAAUAGUAAACAGUGGGAGUUUCUCUUGGCUGCGAGAGAAAAGAGACACUAAAGUCUCUCCUGAAUAAGAGAACAUGGGCAAAGCUGACUCAGCCUCCUCAAAUACUGGAUUGCAUCACUCACAGUUCCUAUCUAAAGGCCAAGAGCUGUCUCAGCUGGGGAUCAUAGGCAAUGACAUCCUGCAUUUCUGGAAGGAAGGUUAUUUAAAUCAGUUAUUUCUGCCCAAGUGGGCAAAAGCUGUUGCAAGAUGCUCCUAAAUAGUUUGCAGAAUCUCUUCUUUAGCUUGGUGGAAUCAGCAAUAGAUUACUGUUGGAAAAAUAAGUCAUUUAAUACCAACCAGCUACUAAUGAAUGAAAAAUGCAUGUGGGGGGAAUAUAUCUAACUAUGAAAUAUCAUUGUAUGUAUAUAUAUUAAUCCUAAAACUAUGUUUUUCCAUUCUGAGUCACAAUUGGCCCAUUAUAUUUGUUCAGUGCGGACUUGGAAAAAGUUGGGGUAUUAAGCCGUUCUUAAUCAAAUGAACUGCUCUGAUUGAUGCUGAGUUGUUGGCUAUAUUUUAAUGAGAUCCACACACACUUAUGACUGCAUAAUAGUAUUAGUGACAGGCUAAUUAUAUUCGAUCAGCAGGGCUAAGCUGAUUUGAAAUAAAAGAAUGCUGACUUCAACAGAGUUCUGGAUUUUGGCCAGAAUUAAAAUAAUAGAGCAGGUAAUUGUUGUAGAACAUGACCCAUAUGUUGGAUGAAAUAAUAGAAAUAACAGCAUAUGCAACUUAAUUCCUAAGAGAUUUGUAUAUCACUGAUAUAGCAACCUACUUAUUAGCAUAUUACUUUUUUAUAUUUUAAGAUAGCUGUUUUUCUAUUCAGAUUUCAAGUCAUGUAGAUUUAGCCAAGUCCUGCCCUUUAAUAGCAUUACAUUGAUUUGAGGCAUCACAUGAUGGGGAACGGCUCAAAGCAAUCUUUUAUUUAUGCUGUGAGAGACUUUGUGCAUGGAAAGGUACAGAAUGACAGCUUUGCUUAUAAGCAGUGGCUUUUUAAACACAUUUCAUUAAAUAUGUCUGAAAGUCACUACUCUCCAGGAUGGUGGUUAAGCACUUUCCAUGAAAGGUGGAGUUAGUGGAGUUGGUUUUAUGAUUUUCCUAGUUUUUAAGCUAAAUGGAAAUAAUUUGUGUGAUUUUUAUUGCUUUUCUGUGUAAAUGUAAAAGAAAAUGGAAGAUCUAAGUUAUUUCUAAACUUGAAUGUAACUAUUUUAUUGAUGUAUUUUCUACAUUGUUUAAAAUUACACGUGAUAUAUAGGUCUUUUUAAUGGACUUUCCCUUAUCUUUGGUUUCAAUUUUAAACUUAAUGUCCAUGUAAAACUUCUCCAAUAAGCAGCCAAAAAAAGAUAAGCAUAAUAAAAACAUGUUCUUUAGUACUUGGAAUUGCUGAAUAACUGUAUUUGUUUUACUGAGAGGAGAGCAUGGCUAUUGAAGAAUAAUGUGCUGUGACAAAAUAUUCAAUCUGAAUAUUGGUGGUCAGAACUACAACCUAUAUAAAGCAACAUUUCAUUUCCUGUAUGAAGAGUGACAAAGUGUCUAUUACUCA